GGCAGUGCUAAAAUAUCUAGAAAGAUAGAGAUGAUAUGCUAUUGGGUCAUCUGGUCUAUGCUUCAUAAAAUCAAGCAGCCACAUGGUCAAAGAGCAGAAAAGUAUUUUUGACCCAUAGUACAAAGUGUUUCUACUGUGUGCGAACAUGAGUUUGGUACCUCUGCUAAAUUAUAACAGUUUGACUUGUAUGUUAUAAAAAGGCAGUACAUUAAAGUCUUGAGUCAGA